GUAGGUGAACCUGCGG
rnacentral:rRNA from 3 species